CUGCUCGUUUCACAGGAGUUAGGCUAAAAUGGGGACUUUGUAGAGAACAGUCACACAUGGCCACUGUGCAAAUAUGAUAUGCAUAUUUGAGAAAUGUUCUGUAUAUUU
rnacentral:snRNA from 1 species